GAUGGUUCUCAGGCAACACACCCCAGAAUCAGGCUCCCUCCUCUCUGGUUCCGGGUGCAUCACCUGAAAACCGCA
rfam:Myotis davidii contig206641, whole genome shotgun sequence.